GUCUGGGAAACUGCCUGAUGGAGGGGGAUAACUACUGGAAACGGUAGCUAAUACCGCAUAACGUCGCAAGACCAAAGAGGGGGACCUUCGGGCCUCUUGCCAUCACAUGUGCCCAGAUGGGAUUAUCUAUUAGGUGGGGUAACGGCUCACCUAUGCGACAAUCCCUAUCUGGUCUGAGAGGAUGACCACCCACACUGGAACUGAGACACGGUCCACACUCCUACGGGAGGCAGCAGUGGGGAAUAUUGCACAAUGGGCGCAAGCCUGAUGCACCCAUGCCGCGUGUAUGAAAAAAGCCUUCUGGUUGUAAAGUACUUUCACCGGGGAGGAAAGUGUUGUGGUUAAAAACCCCACCAAUUGACGUUACCCGCACAAAAAACACCGGCUAACUCCGUGCCACCACCCGCGGUAAUACAGAGGGUGCAAGCGUUAAUCGCAAUUAUUGGGCGUAAAGCGCACGCAGGCGGUCUGUCACGUCUGAUGUGAAAUCCCCGGGCUCAACCUGGGAACUG
rnacentral:rRNA from 1 species